rnacentral:lncRNA from 1 species
CUCCGCCGCAGCAAAUGAACUGAUUCUGGAGAUGGACGUCAACAAAGAGUCGCUGGCUGCGCUGCAGAUCGCUCCCACGUGGGAGUCCAAGACAAUGAGGGAAGUGGAGUCGUUUCUGAGCAGAUAUGACACAGCAGAGCUGCCGGUGGAGAAGGACGUCUGGACCAGAGCUGAGAACGACUGUAACCGUCUCAUCACGCUCGACACGGCGCUCUCCUACAGGGAGCUCCACUCUAAAGCUGUGAUUGCUGGAGUGAAAGAGGAGGUGAAGGUCCUGUCAGACAAGAUCAGGACGCUCCUGAAGAACACUGCUGCUGAGGUGGAAGCGGAAAGAAACACAGCUGAGGUGGACAUCCAACUAGACUGCAGAGAGACGUUUGAUCUAAUUAAAGAGCGCGUGGAGUCCAGAUUAGGGCAGGUGAGUUUAUCUCAUGAUGAGAAGCAGCACAUCAUCUCCCUCAGAGGUCUGAAGGAUCAAGUACAUUCAGUGGAGAUGCUCAUCAAGCAAGCGCAGAAGAACAUCGUCACGCACCAGCUGAAGCUUUCUUCACAUCUGAGUCACUUUCUGAAGUCUCUGGAUCUUGAAAAGUUUGAGCAAGACUAUUUUCUCCCAAGCCACAUUCCAGCUAGACUUUUAAAGCAACAGGAUUUUUUUGGUAUCUUAGUUGAGAAAGAAAACCUGAAGAGAGCUGAAGACAAAAUAAGAGAGAUUCUCAAAGAGCAGGUUAUACAGCUUUCUCCCAAUCAGACCGGUGACACGUGGACACACUUUCUCAGGAAUCUUCAAGAUGACAUAGAAUCGUUCCAGAAAGCUCACGACAUCAGGAUCGCACAAUCAAAUAAUGAGGUUAUAAUAUGUGGGUUUUCCAGUGCAGUUGCCGAUGUUACCGGAAAAGUCAAGAGAUAUCUGGACAACAAGGAACCGACAACUGAGAACGUCCCUCUGAAAUCUGUGCGAGAGGCUGAAUUUGUGGAGUCCUGCCUGAAUCUGUCCGAGCUCCCAGAACUCAAGAGCCUCGGCGCGACGGUACUAGCUUACAGAACAUCAAACUCCCCUUGUCUGAAGAUCACAGCAGCU